UACAGAGGUCUCAAGCGUUGUUCGGAUUCAUUGGGCGUAAAGGGUGCGUAGGUGGCGCCGUAAGUCGGGUGUGAAAUUUCGGAGCUUAACUCCGAAACUGCAUUCGAUACUGCGGUGCUUGAGGACUGGAGAGGAGACUGGAAUUCAUGGUGUAGCAGUGAAAUGCGUAGAGAUCAUGAGGAACACCGGUGGCGAAGGCGGCAUCCUGGACCGAGAUUGACGCUGAGGCGCGAAAGCCAGGGGAGCAAACGGG
rnacentral:rRNA from 1 species